GAUGAACGCUAGCGGCAGGCUUAAUACAUGCAAGUCGAGGGGCAGCAGGACUGUAGCAAUACAGUUGCUGGCGACCGGCAAACGGGUGCGGAACACGUACGCAACCUACCCAUAACUGAGGAAUAGCCCGGGGAAACCCGGAUUAAUACUUCGUAACAUAAUGAGACGGCAUCGUUUUAUUAUUAUAGCUCCGGCGGUUAUGGAUGGGCGUGCGCCUGAUUAGGUAGUUGGCGGAGUAAUAGCCCACCAAGCCUACGAUCAGUAACUGGUGUGAGAGCACGACCAGUCACACGGGCACUGAGACACGGGCCCGACUCCUACGGGAGGCAGCAGUAAGGAAUAUUGGUCAAUGGACGCAAGUCUGAACCAGCCAUGCCGCGUGAAGGAUGAAGGUCCUCUGGAUUGUAAACUUCUUUUAUGUGGGACGAAACCCUCGUUUUCUAACGGGAUUGACGGUACCAUAGGAAUAAGCACCGGCUAACUCCGUGACAGCAGCCGCUAGU
rnacentral:rRNA from 1 species